UAUGACCAUAUCACAUUGAAACACCGGUUCUCGUACGAUAAACGCAGUUAAGCAACGUCGGGGCUGGUCAGUACCUAAAUGGGUGACUGCUUGGGAAUAUCAGGUGCUGUAA